AGAUUGAACGCUGGCGGCAUGCCUUACACAUGCAAGUCGAACGGCAGCACGGGAGCAAUCCUGGUGGCGAGUGGCGAACGGGUGAGUAAUAUAUCGGAACGUGCCCAGUCGUGGGGGAUAACGUAGAGAAAUUUACGCUAAUACCGCAUACGAUCCAAGGAUGAAAGGCGGGGGGACCGUAAGGCCUCGCGCGACUGGAGCGGCUAGAUAUCAGUACUUAGGCUUUGGUUGGUGAGGUAAAAGCUCACCAAGGCGACGAUCUGUAGCUGGUUCGAGAGAACGACCAGCCACACUGGGACUGGAGACACGGCCCAGACUCCUACGGGAGGCAGCAGGUGGGAAUUUUGGACAACGUGGGACGAAAGCCGUGACUACCAGCAAGUCGCCCGUCGGA
rnacentral:rRNA from 1 species